rnacentral:rRNA from 1 species
GAUGAACGCUGGCGGCGUGCUUAACACAUGCAAGUCGAACGGAAGGGCUCCUGCUUGCAGGGGUUCUCGAGUGGCGAACGGGUGAGUAACACGUGGGGGAUCUGCCCUGCACUUCGGGAUAAGCCUUGGAGACUGGGGCGAAUACCGGAGAGAACCACAUGUUGGGUGGUGUGCUAGAGUGUUGGGCGGUGUUGGAUGAGCUCGAGGCCUAUCCGCUGGUGGGUGAGGUAGUUGCCUACGAAGCGGUCGACGGAUAGCCGGCCUGGGAGGGGGGACGGCCACAAUGGGCCUACGAUAGGGAGCAGACGGCUAUGGGAGGCAGUAGUGGGGAAUCUUGCACAAUGGGCGCACGCCUGAUGUAGAGACGCUGCGUGGGGGAUGCCGGGCUUCGAGUUGUGAACACCUUUGGCUAGGGACGAAGCGAACGUGACGGUACCUGGAGAAGAAGCCCCGGCUAUCUACGUG